GUGUCAGUGAUGGAAGGAGAUUCAGUCACUCUACACACUUAUGUUGAUACAAACCAACAAGGCAGAAUGAGGUGGUAUUUUAAUGAUAUUUACAUCACUGAAAUAAGUAAAGAUCCCAGUAAUGUCUGUACAGAUGAUCAGUGUAAUGAGAGAUUCAGAGACAGACUGAAGCUGGAUCAUCAGACUGGUUCUCUGACCAUCACAAACAUCAACACCACAGACUCUGGAGUUUAUAGACUACAGAUCAUCAACAGCAGAACCAGUCAAAAGGUCUUCAUUGUUGCUGUAUAUGGUGUUCCUGCUGAUGAACGAGAUGAAAUGAAGAGAAAGUCAGUGAAGAAGGGAGAAUCUGUUAGGAUAGAUCCUGCUGUAAUAAAAAAACCCAAAUGAUUUGAUGAAAUGGUAUUUUAAUGACAUUCCUAUUGCUGAAAUCACUGGAGAUCAGAGUAAGACCUGUACAGAUGUACAGUGUAAAGAAAGAUUUAGAGACAGACUGGAGCUGAAUAAUCAAACUGGAUCUUUGACCAUCACAAACACCAGAACCACAGACUCUGGACCCUACAAUCUAGAGAUUACCAGCUGUAGCAGCAACAUCAGUAUCAGUGUCAUUAAAAGUUUCAUUGUUACUGUCACUGGUUCAGGUCUGUCUUCAGCUGAGCAACAAUAUGUGUCUCUGCUGUUGUUCAGCUGUUUGUUGCUAAAGCUACUGGUUUAAUUUACUGCCACAACCCUAAGGAAGAGAACAGUCUCCAGUAGUCUCCAGCUCUGCAUCUCCUGAUGAGUGACUCAUCUGAAUGCUUCUGAUUGGCCACUGCAUUUCUAAGCUUAACAGAAUUGUGUGUGAUUAUUUAUAAUGCACAACACUGUAAAAACUUCUAAAAAAAAUUACAGAGCAACGUGAGCAACAUGAUCUUAUAAUGCCGGAAUCAACACUUUCUAUUCAUUUUCACUUUGUUAAUAACAGAUGUAAUAGAUUUAAUUUGUUUGUGCAGGGGCAUUUUUGUUCAAUUUAGUGCCAUUUUUCCCCCUAAGUCCCUGUGACCAGCCUUAUACACACUCCACCUAAGCGCCU